AAUUUUGUUAGCAUAGUGUUUUGGACCACAUCUUUUCUUGUGUUUUUAGAUGGAUAUGAUUCUUUGGAUCCCAAUGGAAACAUUACCAUCACAUAAGACAGCCUUGCAUGGGAUUCUAGAACAUAUGAUUACAGAAAGAGCAGAUCGUCUACCCCAACCUGCUGCCUCUCCAUUUCUGCUUUUUAUAAUGAGGCAAUCGUUCCCUGCCCCUUACGCAACUGGAGCUGCCAAGCACAAGCAAAUUGUGUAAAGUCUGGGGCUAAACCAUCCCUCUUGCAGCAGCUACGAGAUGAGCAGCAAAGACUGCCACCAGUCUUAAGGUUCUCGGGCCACAUGUGUCCCAUUCAGGUGCAAUGGCAUGCAAAUCAUAUCCAGAACUACUCUAACAGGAACUCACCCCACCUUGAAGAGCAUAACUUGCAUUUUCAGCUUCAACUACAAUCCUCUCAAUUACUAUGGAGAUAUAUCAAUGAUACUGGGAUAUUUUGGGGGAUUCAGAAUUAUAAUGACAAGCUGCUGCAAUCAGGUAAGAAAUGAAGGAUGGACUUUCCCAAGAAGGAUUUGUUUUAAUGGAGAUGAAUGUGUCAUGCCCCAACCAGAACAGUUCCCAAUAUUUCUGCCCAACAAUGGUCAGUCUCAUGCCCCAUCCUGGCUUUCCAUAUUUUUCCUCUCAUUAAUACUACUUGCAAUAAUGUUCUGGAAGUAUAUAUAUUGCUGAAUGGUGAGCAAAAACUGCAGUCUGCAAAAUGGUUCAGAAUGAAUUUAUCUGAUUUGAAAUUUAUCAUUGAAAUUAAAAUCCAAGAAAAAAAAAGUUGAGACAUCCUGGAAGUUCACAGUUGGAGUAAGGUAUCUGUCAUCAUUAAUUAGGCCAUGAUACAUGUCAAAAAUUUGAUGGAACCUUACCUGUGGUUUGAAUUGAGUCUUUACAAGCCGCCUUCUGGUCCUUGUUCUUAUUCUCAUUGUUUUUUAUUGUUCACUAAGUGGUGAACUCAACAUCUGACAAGGACAAUUCCAUGAGAAAAGUAAGCGAUAGAAGGAAAUGGAAAAUAUGCUGAUGAUGAAGUGAAAGAAAUCCAGUAGCAUUAUCAAUUUGUGACCUGCAACUGCAUAUUGCAGAUUGUCUGGCAAUUAGACAAAUCGAGUCAGAUCAUUUUAGGUUGAAGGAUAUUGGAAUUAUUUUGGAAUUAGAUUGUUUUGAGUUCGAGUCAUUUCAAGAUUGAGUCAUCUUGAGUUCGAUCAUUCCAUAUUCCUGUUAUUUGGAUUUAUCACUCAAGUUAUUCAGGAUCGAGAUUAUUUGAGUUUGAGUCAUUUCUAGUGAAAUCAAU